UACGAAGGGUGCACGCGUUACUCGGAAUUACUGGGCGUAAAGCGUGCGUAGGUGGUUGUUUAAGUCUGUUGUGAAAGCCCUGGGCUCAACCUGGGAACUGCAGUGGAAACUGGACAACUAGAGUGUGGUAGAGGGUAGCGGAAUUCCCGGUGUAGCAGUGAAAUGCGUAGAGAUCGGGAGGAACAUCCAUGGCGAAGGCAGCUACCUGGACCAACACUGACACUGAGGCACGAAAGCGUGGGGAGCAAACAGG
rnacentral:rRNA from 1 species